UAAAUAUAAAGGUAAUAAAGUAUGUAAAAUAUAUAUUACAUGAAGAAUCCUGGAGAAAAUGACGUUUAUGCAGGAGUAGGUAUGUCCCAAUGAAUAAAAAAACACAGGAACGAGCGUUUCGUAUCUGUCACUAAAGUAUGCGCGAGACAAAAUCGGCCAUAUUGGUCCUUCGAGUAUGACUCAUUCUGUUGUCAUUUUUUAUCGCCCCAGUUCGCCAAAUCAGAGGCCAAAUUCGAGUGUUCCGAAAAUAUGGUUAGCUGUGCCGCUUGUGGCUAUUCCCUGACACCAAAACAUAAAGAUGAUGGUGUUACAUUUCACAGCUUUCCUAAAAUCAGACGAGAAGAUCGCAAUGGGUAAAUUUUGUCAAAACUCUGAGUUUAUCCC